GAACGAGAAAGUGGAGCAAUCCAUGAGUAAAGUGGCGCACGGGUGAGUAACACGUGACUAACCUACCCUGGAGUGGGGGAUAACUGAGGGAAACCUUAGCUAAUACCGCAUAACACCUACGGGUCAAAGGAGCAAUUCGCUUUGGGAGGGGGUCGCGGCCGAUUAGUUAGUUGGCGGGGUAACGGCCCACCAAGACGAUGAUCGGUAUCCGGCCUGAGAGGGCGCACGGACACACUGGAACUGAAACACGGUCCAGACUCCUACGGGAGGCAGCAGUGGGGAAUUUUGCGCAAUGGGGGAAACCCUGACGCAGCAACGCCGCGUGGAGGAUGAAGUCCUUCGGGACGUAAACUCCUUUCGAUCGGGACGAUUAUGACGGUACCGGAAGAAGAAGCCCCGGCUAACUUCGUGCCAGCAGCCGCGGUAAUACGAGGGGGGCGAGCGUUGUUCGGAAUUAUUGGGCGUAAAGGGUGCGUAGGCGGUUUGGUAAGUCUUAUGUGAAAUCUAUGGGCUCAACUCAUAGACUGCAUGAGAAACUGCCGGGCUUGAGUGUGGGAGAGGUGAGUGGAAUUUCCGGUGUAGCGGUGAAAUGCGUAGAUAUCGGAAGGAACACCUGUGGCGAAAGCGGCUCACUGGACCACAACUGACGCUGAUGCACGAAAGCUAGGAGA
rnacentral:rRNA from 1 species